rnacentral:misc_RNA from 1 species
GAUGAAGAACGUAGCGAAAUGCGAUAAGUUGUGUGAAUUGCAGAAUUCAGUGAAUCAUCGAAUCUUUGAACGCACAUUGCGCCCCUUGGUAUUCCAUGGGGCAUGCCUGUUCGAGCGUCAUUUGUACCUUCAAGCUUUGCUUGGUGUUGGGUGUUUGUCCCGAGGGACUCGCCUUAAAGUAAUUGGCAGCCAGUGUUUGGUUUUGAAGCGCAGCACAAGUCGCGAUUCAAGGCUACACGCCCGCUUCCACAAGCCUUUUUUCACUUUUGACCUCGGAUCAGGUAGGGAUACCCGCUGAACUUAAGCAUAUCAAUAAGCGGAGGA